UGGGGAAUCUUGGACAAUGGGGGCAACCCUGAUCCAGCCAUGCCGCGUGAGUGAUGAAGGCCUUAGGGUCGUAAAGCUCUUUCGCCUGUGAAGAUAAUGACGGUAGCAGGUAAAGAAACCCCGGCUAACUCCGUGCCAGCAGCCGCGGUAAUACGGAGGGGGUUAGCGUUGUUCGGAAUUACUGGGCGUAAAGCGCACGUAGGCGGACCAGAAAGUUGGGGGUGAAAUCCCGGGGGCUCAACCCCGGAACUGCCUCCAAAACUAUUGGUCUAGAGUUCGAGAGAGGUGAGUGGAAUUCCAAGUGUAGAGGUGAAAUUCGUAGAUAUUCGGAGGAACACCAGUGGCGAAGGCGGCUCACUGGCUCGAUACUGACGCUGAGGUGCGAAAGUGUGGGGAGCAAACAGGAUUAGAUACCCUGGUAGUCCACACCGUAAAACGAUGUCUGCUAGUCGUUGGGGGGCGUAGCCCUU
rnacentral:rRNA from 1 species